AUGGUGGUAUCCCAGACAACACUCGCUCCAGCCGUGGUGAGCACCACAGCCAUCAGUGAGAACACGACUGAUGUGACUGCAACUCCCAUGAUGCUCAGCACCCUCCCCCCGAGCUGCACUGGUCUCAACUCCUCGACCUGCGAGGUCUGUGUUCCAGGGUCCCACUAUGACAACGGGACCCUGAUGUGCUCCUGUUGUCCAGACCUGGGGUCCUGCCUGUUCCCUGGGGCCUGUCUCCUGUGCGCCAGAGGCUUCUUUCAGCCGCUGGCUGGCCGGCAGCAGUGUCUGCCCUGUGGGCUGGGCCUCUUCUCAAACGUGACGGGCGGCUCCACCUGCCAGCCCUGCCCGCGCGGUUCUGCUGGCAACAUCACCGGGGCCGACUCCUGCCGGAGCUGCACCCCAGGCUUCUUCUCAUCUCAGCCAGCUUCCAGCUCAUGUAACCCGUGUCUUCAGGGAACCUUCUGCAACUCCUCCAACUGUGCGGAGUGCCCCGUCUGUCCUGUCGGCACAGAAUCCCUUCUGUUGGCCUCAAAGGAUUGCACUCAAUGUCGGCCAGGCAUGCACAAGGCAGCACAUCAGAUGAUGUGUCAAAUCUGCAGCAGUGGAUUCUUCCAGAUCCACUGGGGCAGGGAGAACUGUGACAUCUGCCCUGAAAACCACUACUGUCCUAGUCCCGAUGUGAGCCCCAUCCUCUGCCCCGACGACGCCUUCUGUCCAGCGGGGAGCAGCUCCCCCAGCUACUGCAUGGAGACGUUCUUCCGCAAGUCAGGGGAAACAUGUGAGCUCGCCCCGGUCACCAUCGCUCUGCUAGUCAUCGGUGUAGGGGUGGCCUUCCUCUUAGUCAUCCUGCUGGUCCUCCGUCGACGGAGAGACACGGACAGCGAGCUGUCCGCCGCCCGUGCCCCGCUGCUCCGCAAGGAACGUCCUCAGGGCCGCUACCACGGCAUGCCCUGCGACGCAGAACCCGUGUACGCUGGCUGGUGA
rnacentral:lncRNA from 1 species